GGCGCUGUGGGGUAGCGGUUAACCUUAGACUUGAUUAUUAAUUCUUUCUCCUGUGCGAUUUUCUAGUCUAGCUGCGAGUUCAAAUCUCGCCAGCGCCA